UACGUAGGGUGCGAGCGUUAAUCGGAAUUACUGGGCGUAAAGCGUGCGCAGGCGGUUCUUCAAGUCCGUUGUGAAAGCCCCGGGCUCAACCUGGGAAUGGCAGUGGAAACUAGGGGACUGGAAUCUGGCAGAGGGGAGUGGAAUGCCGCGUGUAGCAGUGAAAUGCGUAGAGAUGCGGAGGAACACCGAUGGCGAAGGCAGCCCCCUGGGCUGAGAUUGACGCUCAGGCACGAAAGCGUGGGGAGCAAACAGG
rnacentral:rRNA from 1 species